AACGAACGCUGGCGGCAUGCCUAACACAUGCAAGUCGAACGAGACCUUCGGGUCUAGUGGCGCACGGGUGCGUAACGCGUGGGAACCUUCCCUUAGGUUCGGAAUAACUCCCCGAAAGGGGUGCUAAUACCGGAUAAUGUCUUCGGACCAAAGAUUUAUCGCCUUUGGAUGGGCCCGCGUUGGAUUAGCUAUUUGGUAGGGUAAAAGCCUACCAAGGCGACGUUCCAUAGCUGGUCUGAGAGGAUGAUCAGCCACACUGGGACUGAGACACGGCCCAGACUCCUGCGGGAGGCAGCAGUGGGGAAUAUUGGACAAUGGGCGAAAGCCUGAUCCAGCAAUGCCGCGUGAGUGAUGAAGGCCUUAGGGUUGUAAAGCUCUUUUACCCGGGAUGAUAAUGACAGUACCGGGAGAAUAAGCUCCGGCUAACUCCGUG
rnacentral:rRNA from 1 species